rfam:Myotis lucifugus cont2.32709, whole genome shotgun sequence.
AGGCCUGAAGAGAGAGGCAGGGUCUGAUCCAUAGCCUCUGUGGAAGCUGUUGGUCAGCCCUUGCCUCUCGCUUUCUCUCCA